UCGCUGUUUCAGGAACCACCCACUCCCGCUUGGAAACCAAUUAAAUGUUUAAACAUUUUUUAGCGCCAUCAUCAAUGUCCCGCCCCCUCAUCGUGCGACCUCGUGCAUCAUCAUCAAAGUCGUCAAUCAUCAGAAUACCCAAAAUGUCCACAGGCUCUUUAGAAGCAGCACUUGUUCUUGGAGAUGUGUUUCUUGAUCAGAUACAGAAAGAAGAAAAAAAGCAAGCCAAGAGGUCUAAGCCACAUCCUACGACUGUGAAGUGGAGGCAAAGGGACAGAAAUGGGAAUGUUAUACGGCCGCUUCGGAAAAAAAACCUCAAUAAAACAAAAACUGAAAAGAAAGGCUCCUAACCACGGUCCCACCAGUGUGCCCAUCCAAGAGGAAUUUGUUUAUCGAGCAGAAACUGGUAACUGUACACUGUGGUUAUAUGGAAUGGCAUCUGGUUAAUAGAGUUUAAGUAAUAUUCUGAAAAUAAUAUUGUACACAAAUAUUUUGCCCAAUA